GACGAACGCUGGCGGCGUGCUUAACACAUGCAAGUCGAACGGUAAGGCCCCUUCGGGGGUACACGAGUGGCGAACGGGUGAGUAACACGUGAGCAACCUGCCCUUGACUCUGGAAUAACAGUUGGAAACAGCUGCUAAUACUGGAUAUUCAUCGUCUCCUUCCUGGGGGGUGGUGGAAAGCUCCGGCGGUCAGGGAUGGGCUCGCGGCCUAUCAGCUUGUUGGUGAGGUAAUGGCUCACCAAGGCUUCGACGGGUAGCCGGCCUGAGAGGGCGACCGGCCACACUGGGACUGAGAUACGGCCCAGACUCCUACGGGAGGCAGCAGUGGGGAAUAUUGCACAAUGGGCGCAAGCCUGAUGCAGCAACGCCGCGUGCGGGAUGACGGCCUUCGGGUUGUAAACCGCUUUCAGCAGGGACGAAGGGUGACUGACGGUACCUACAGAAGAAGGACCGGCUAACUACGUG
rnacentral:rRNA from 1 species